UACGUAGGGGGCAAGCGUUGUCCGGAUUUAUUGGGCGUAAAGAGCGUGUAGGCGGCUUCAGCAGUCCGCUGUGAAAACUCGAGGCUCAAACCUCGAGCUGUCGGUGAAACCGUGUGGCUAGAGUCCGGAAGAGGAGAGUGGAAUUCCGUCGUGAGCGGUGAAAUGCGCAGAUAUCGGGAAGAACACCCGUGGCGAAGGCGGCUCUCUGGGACGGUACUGACGCUGAGACGCGAAAGCGUGGGGAGCGAACAGG
rnacentral:rRNA from 1 species